UCAACUUUGAGAAAGCGAAUUUUGGAAUGGAGACACGCGUUCGUGUUGUGUUAUACACCGGGUGCUGUUUUGUACGAUAGGACAGAGCCGGCUCUCCUAAUCUUGUUCUACCCCGGAGGAUGUAAGACGUGGGAUCUGCUAAACAGAUUGGGCUCGUGUUUUCUUUCUCUAAUGCUUGGAAGAUUACUUAAGUGUCCACGAAAUGUUACCCUGUCCAUGGUACUGAUCUUAAGAGAAUAAAAGUGCAGAGAGAU